rnacentral:rRNA from 1 species
UACGGGGGGGGGCAAGCGUUGUUCGGAAUUACUGGGCGUAAAGCGCACGUAGGCGGGUAUUUAAGUCAGGGGUGAAAUCCCAGAGCUCAACUCUGGAACUGCCUUUGAUACUGGGUACCUAGAGUAUGGAAGAGGUAAGUGGAAUUCCGAGUGUAGAGGUGAAAUUCGUAGAUAUUCGGAGGAACACCAGUGGCGAAGGCGGCUUACUGGUCCAUUACUGACGCUGAGGUGCGAAAGCGUGGGGAGCAAACAGG